GAUGAACGCUGGCGGCGUGCCUAAUACAUGCAAGUCGAGCGAACGGACGAGAAGCUUGCUUUUCUGAUGUUAGCGGCGGACGGGUGAGUAACACGUGGAUAACCUACCUAUAAGACUGGGGUAACUUCGGGAAACCGGAGCUAAUACCGGAUAAUAUUUUGAACCGCAUGGUUCAAAAGUGAAAGACGGUCUUGCUGUCACUUAUAGAUGGAUCCGCGCUGCAUUAGAUAGUUGGUAAGGUAACGGCUUACCAAGGCAACGAUGCAUAGCCGACCUGAGAGGGUGAUCGGCCACACUGGAACUGAGACACGGUCCAGACUCCUACGGGAGGCAGCAGUAGGGAAUCUUCCGCAAUGGGCGAAAGCCUGACGGAGCAACGCCGCGUGAGUGAUGAAGGUCUUCGGAUCGUAAAACUCUGUUAUUAGGGAAGAACAUAUGUGUAAGUAACUGUGCACAUCUUGACGGUACCUAAUCAGAAAGCCACGGCUAACUACGUG
rnacentral:rRNA from 1 species